AGGCCUCCUGAAGGUCCAAACCUCACAGCCUUUCCUGAGUCUGUGCACCAGGAUCCUGGGUUGGCAAGAGGCCAUUUGAGGAGAGGACAAGUUUGGAUUAGGAACAUCUGACCAACAGCAGAAAAAGUCCUAUCAGCACUGUGUGUUGGUGCUAUGCUGAGCAGCCUUGACCAUGUUUUGACAGAGAGCUGUCCCAUGGCACAACUGAAAGUUUGAUGACCAAACCCUUCCCCUCUGCAUGAGUAAGGUG